UGUUGUUCUAUCAACUGAGCUGUGUU
rnacentral:piRNA from 1 species